AUUGAACGCUGGCGGCAGGCCUAACACAUGCAAGUCGAGCGAGCGGAGGACGGGUGAGUAAUGUAUGGGAAAAUGUGUGAUGGAGGGGGAUAACUACUGGAAACGGUAUGUAAUACCGCAUACAAUCAGAUGUGCCCAGAUGGGAUUAGCUAGUAGGUGGGGUAAUGGCUCACCUAGGCGACGAUCCCUAGCUGGCCUGAGAGGAUGACCGGCAACACUGGGACUGAGACACGGUCCAGACUCCUACGGGAGGCAGCAGUGGGGAAUAUUGGACAAUGGGCGAAAGCCUGAUGCAGCCAUGCCGCGUGAGUGAAGAAGGCCUUCGGGUUGUAAAGUACUGUCGGCGGAGAAGCGGUAUCUACAGAGAAAGCAACGGCUAACUCCGUGCCAGCAGCCGCGGUAAUAC
rnacentral:rRNA from 1 species